UUUCUUCUUCUUCUUCGUCUUCUUCCUCCGA
rnacentral:sRNA from 1 species